CCGGCCUGGGCUAUUAUUUUUUAUUGAUACAUAACAUUUGUACAUAUUUGUAGGGGGUGUGUCAUAUUUUGAUACCAAGAGCAUAUAAUGAACAAAUCAUGGUAUAAUAUUUAGGACAUCCAUCCUUGAACAUUUAUCAUUUCUUUGUGUUGAGAAUAUUUCAAAUCUUCUUACAACUAUUUUGAAAUGUGCAAUACAUUGUUGUUAACUAUAGUCACCCCACUUUGCUAUCAAACAUUAGAACUUAUUCUCUCUUUGUGUUUGUACCCAUUAACCUAGCUUUCUUCAUCCCUGCCCUACCCCACAUACACUCUUCCCAGCCUCUGGUAUCUCUCAUUCUACUCUCUACCUCCAUGAGAUUCACUUUUUUAGCUCCCACAUAUGAGAACAUGUGAUAUUUUUCUUUUUGUGCUGGGCCAUUAUUAAGCAAAAUAAGGAUUAUUUGAACACAGUACUUUAAUACCGCAACAGUUGACCUGAUAACUGAGUAGUAAGUAGUAAGACUAACAGGCAAGUAAGCACAUACCACACGGAGAUGCUAGACAAACAGAGGAUUCAUGUCCAAGACGGGGCAGGACAGCACAAGAUUUCAUUACCCUACUCAUAAUGGUUCACAAUGCAAACAUUAUGUAUGGAAUUCUCCAUUUAAUAUUUUCAGACCACAGUUGCCUGCAGGUAAGGUAACUGAAACUAUGGAAAGCAAAACAGGAUAAGGGGGGACUCCUGUAUUUCAACCUAGGCAAGGGAUCGCUUGCUAAUGACUACAUAAAUCACUUGUAAGGAAUGACAGUAACUUAAAUUCUGCUUCCUUAAACAUUCAGCAUUUCUCCUGCCACCUUGUUAUAUAUUUGUCAUGAAGAAACUAUUUUCCUCAUAAAGCUAACCUAAACUGUUCACCAUGUGUGUUAGCACACGAGCCAGAUGAGUAGAAUCUGAAUUAUGAUUUUCUCUUUUUUUACCACCUUACUGGUAAUAGGCUUCGAAGACAUGCCAAGCUUCCUUUGACUACCCACACUACUGUGUUUAGUAGCUGACCAACCUGAGAAAUGCCCCUUAUCGCGAGUUUCCAUCUCUUGGUACAGGUUAAAUAAGCCUUAUAAACUAUUGUGAAUUUACCACUGGUCUGCUGCUGUACCACUUGCCAAAUCAUGACCUACCACCAGUGCUUCUCCAGCCCCAGAAAGAAUGUGGGCAGAGGCAACGUUCAAGAAGGAACCGACCAGCUAACACAGCCCCUCUGGUUCCAACCAAUACCCCAGAGCCAUGGUCAACUGAACAAAGGAGACUUGAUUGGCCAACAUAAGGUACAGCAAUAAAGGUGUCCUGCCUUGCCAGUGGCAGCCAGAAAAGAACCAAACUCUACUGACCCCCAAAAUUACAAUCAGCAGAGAAGAUGUUGGGGCUGAAGAGAUCCUGGAAGAGGAGCCCCAAAUGUCUCAUUCACCUGCGUAUGUUCUUCUUUGUCCACAAAGACACCAUUGAUCCUAAGAACUCGGUCUCCAUCCUGAAGGCCAGCCUUCUCUGCUGGGCUACCCUUCUCAACCACCCGGACCAGGUGGCCCUCAGUGUCCUUCUCAAUUCGCAGGAAGAAGCCAUAGUUUUGCCCUUCUUGCUUAGACAGUUUACAUUCUCGGGGGUUGAAGGUGGAGGUCAUUUCUGUGGUGGGAAAAAAAAAUUAAUAAAUCCAUGGAAAAGAGAAA